UACGUAGGUGGCAAGCGUUGUCCGGAAUUACUGGGUGUAAAGCGCGUGUAGGCGGCAGACCAAGUCGGCGGUGAAAGCGCCCGGCUCAACUGGGCGAGGUCCGUGGAAACUGGUCAGCUGGAGGACGGUAGAGGCGAGUGGAAUUCCCGGUGUAGUGGUGAAAUGCGUAGAGAUCGGGAGGAACACCUGUGGCGAAGGCGGCUCGCUGGACUGCAACUGACGCUGAGGAACGAAAGCUAGGGGAGCAAACAGG
rnacentral:rRNA from 1 species